rnacentral:tRNA from 1 species
ACUUAAGUAGCUUAUAUUAGAGCGUAACUUUGAAGGUGUUAAGGAAGUCUAGACUUUUAAGUA